rnacentral:rRNA from 1 species
UACGUAGGGUGCAAGCGUUAAUCGGAAUUACUGGGCGUAAAGCGUGCGCAGGCGGCUUUGCAAGACAGAUGUGAAAUCCCCGGGCUCAACCUGGGAACUGCAUUUGUGACUGCAAGCUAGAGUACGGUAGAGGGGGAUGGAAUUCCGCGUGUAGCAGUGAAAUGCGUAGAUAUGCGGAGGAACACCGAUGGCGAAGGCAAUCCCCUGGACCUGUACUGACGCUCAUGCACGAAAGCGUGGG